rnacentral:rRNA from 1 species
CACGUAGGGGGCGAGCGUUGUCCGGAUUCAUUGGGCGUAAAGGGCGCGCAGGCGGCCCGGUAAGUCGGAUGUGAAAACUCGGGGCUCAACCCCGAGCGUGCACCCGAUACUGCCGGGCUUGAGGCAGGUAGGGGAGAUCGGAAUUCCUGGUGUAGCGGUGAAAUGCGCAGAUAUCAGGAGGAACACCGGUGGCGAAGGCGGAUCUCUGGGCCUGUCCUGACGCUGAGGCGCGAAAGCUAGGGGAGCGAACAGG